UACGAAGGGGGCUAGCGUUGCUCGGAAUCACUGGGCGUAAAGGGUGCGUAGGCGGGUCUUUAAGUCGAGGGUGAAAUCCUGGAGCUCAACUCCAGAACUGCCUUUGAUACUGAAGAUCUUGAGUUCGGGAGAGGUGAGUGGAACUGCGAGUGUAGAGGUGAAAUUCGUAGAUAUUCGCAAGAACACCAGUGGCGAAGGCGGCUCACUGGCCCGAUACUGACGCUGAGGCACGAAAGCGUGGGGAGCAAACAGG
rnacentral:rRNA from 1 species